GUGUGCUAAAAAUAUUUAAUUUGUGUAAAGAAAACUCAAGCUUUAUAUAUUAUAAAGUGAUCAAAUCCUUUUCUAUUUGUUACGUGCAAAGGGAGCAAUAUAUGGCUAAACUUAUGAAGUUUGUUUAUUUUAUGAUUCUCUUCCUUUCUCUGUAUCUUGUUGCAACAACUCAUGACUGUCAUAAUGACUUGGAUUGUGGAGACAAAAUUAAGUGUGUGCCUCCUCGGAUUGCAUUAUGUAUCAAUUACAAAUGUUAUUGUAUUCUUGAAAAUGAUGCGGUAAUUCCUUGGAGUACAUGACCAAAACAAGUUAAGUAAUUCACUACAAGCAAGAAGGAUUUCUUAAACUAGCAAAAGAUCUAAGAUAUACGGUUGUUGAUAAAAUAUUACAUGAUAUGUUAUUUACUAACUUUGUUGGCACCCAUUAAUUGAAUUUAUUUUGUUUUUAUUUUUGCAUUCCUAAUUUAAUUGAUCAUGCAAUUAUUGAUUUUUACUAUUAGAUUUUGUGAAUGGUUUGAAAUUUAACAGUAACUGUUAGAAGGCUUCAUGGUCAAGAUUUUCCAAUGCAGAUAAUAUUAAGAAUCAGAUGUAAAGGGGUAAGCCACGCGCAACGUUCGUGCUGACACAAACCUGCCCUCAUCAUCCCGAAUACACACUCCUAUACCUACUUUGUUGAAGAAGCGGAGAAGGAAGCAUCCACGUUAUACUUAAGUCUUCCUACCGGUGGUGGCUGCCACGUGCACAGCUGUUGACGUGUCUUAGACGUGUUGCUGGUUGCAGCACCAGCUCCUGACCAUUGAACACUUCUCAUAAUGACUUUUAGUCGAAAAUCUUUCUUGAUGUUCGCCAACAUCCAUUAUUCCAGAACAUGGUUGGCACACUCUUAAAUCUGAGAGUUAGUCUUUGUAACAAGUUGCCAGAUCUUAAAUUUCGGUGCUUCCAAAUUCUCCAUAGGAUUGUGGCAAAUUAUGUAACCUUGGUUUUAGGAAAACGCUGCAAUAAGAGAAAAAUUGAUGUCGUAGCGUUAUAACCUUGAUGUAAAGUUGCAGUUACAUCUUGCAAAAGACCACCAUUUCGCCACACUUGAACAACUCUUGGCCAUUCAAAUAAAAUGUGAAUUUCGUCCUCGUA